UGCAAGCGCCAUCUAGUGGACAUAAUUUAAAACCAAUAGAUUCCUUGUCAUCCAUAUCAACAACGACUGGACGGAACGGGAACGGCUGGAUAGCUUUCAGACAGCUCAGCUUCUUCCGCCCGACUAUUAUCCGCUGACCUGCUCAGCGGUUCAGCCAUAGAAGCUGACAAUUAUGAUGGUCCCUAGAUUUUUCACUUUUUUAAUUACCAUGAAAUAUGACGCACACGACAGUCUGACGACACCAUGAGCCUAUGACCAUAUGGCAAAAGGUAUAGCCACAUAUUUGGGAGCAGGACCCUCCCAUCCAGCAACCUCCAAUUGCCUUUUUCUCUGGAAGUGCUUAUUAAACAACCUUAACAAAUAAAACAUCUUUCUAUAGAAUUAUAUGAAUUUUACUAUUUCGUAUUACAAUUAGAAAAAAAAAGUAAUAUAAUUGUCACAUAGUCUUUGUAACUCGAAAAUACCUCUUCCGCAUGGCAAUACAUCGCACUUUCAAUUUC